GAGUUUGAUCAUGGCUCAGGACGAACGCUGGCGGCGUGCUUAACACAUGCAAGUCGAACGGUAAGGCUCCAGCUUGCUGGGGUACACGAGUGGCGAACGGGUGAGUAACACGUGGGUGACCUGCCCUGCACUUCGGGAUAAGCCUGGGAAACUGGGUCUAAUACCGGAUAGGACCGCACCGUGAGGGUGUGGUGGAAAGUUUUUCGGUGUGGGAUGGGCCCGCGGCCUAUCAGCUUGUUGGUGGGGUAAUGGCCUACCAAGGCGGCGACGGGUAGCCGGCCUGAGAGGGUGGACGGCCACAUUGGGACUGAGACACGGCCCAGACUCCUACGGGAGGCAGCAGUGGGGAAUAUUGCACAAUGGGCGGAAGCCUGAUGCAGCGACGCCGCGU
rnacentral:rRNA from 1 species